rnacentral:misc_RNA from 1 species
GAAAUGCGAUAAGUAGUGUGAAUUGCAGAAUUCAGUGAAUCAUCGAAUCUUUGAACGCACAUUGCGCCCCUCGGCAUUCCGUGGGGCAUGCCUGUUCGAGCGUCAUCUACACCCUCAAGCUCUGCUUGGUGUUGGGCGUCUGUCCCACCUCCGCGCGCGGACUCGCCCCAAAUGCAUUGGCAGCGGUUCCUUGCCCCCCUCUUUGCGCAGCACAUUGCCAUUCGAGGCGGCGGCGGCCCGCGUCCAACAAGCUCAACCCCCCCGUCUUUGACCUCGGAUCAGGUAGGGAUACCCGCUGAACUUAAGC